rnacentral:lncRNA from 1 species
GGUCAGUUGUUGUUCUCGAAUUUUGUUCCCAGCCAGUCAGCAUUAGGGUCUUAAACCCUAAACUGAAUUUUCCCUUUCAGUCAGCAUUAGGGUUUUAAACCCUAAACUGAACUUUUUCCCUUCAGCCAGCAUUAGGGUUUUAAACCCUAAACUGAGCUUUUCCAUGCGGUCAGCAAUAGGGUUUUAAACCCUGAACUGAACUUUUUCCUUUAGACAGCAUUAGGGUUUUAAACCCUAAACUGAACUUUUCCCAUUCAGCCAGCAUUAGGGUUUUAAACCCUAAACUGAGCUUUUCCUUCCAGUCAGCAUUAGGGUUUUAAACCCUAAACUGAAUUUUUUCUUUCAGUCAGCAUUAGGGUUUUAAACCCUGAACUGAAUUUUUUCCUUUAGUCAGCAUUAGGGUUUUAAACCCUAAAUUGAACUUUUUUCCAUUCAGCCAGCAUUAGGGUUUUAAACCCUAAACUGAACUUUUUCCAUUCAGCCAGCAUUAGGGGUUUUAAACCCUAAACUGAGCUUUUCCAUGCAAUCAGCAUUAGGGUUUUAAACCCUAAACUGAAUUUUUCCUUUAGUCGGCAUUAGGAUUUUAAACCCUAAACUGAACUUUUCCCAUGCAAUCAGCAUUAGGGUUUUAAACCCUAAACUGAGCUUUUCCAUGCAAUCAGCAUUAGGGUUUUAAACACUAAACUGAAUUUUUCCUUUAGUCAGCAUUAGGGUUUUAAACCCUAAACUGAACUCUUCCCAUUCAGCCAGCAUUAGGGUUUUAAACCCUAAACUGAGCUUUUCCAUGCAAUCAGCAUUAGGGGUUUAAACCCUAAACUGAAUUUUUCCUUUAGUCAGCAUUAAGGUUUUAAACCCUAAACUGAACUUUUCCCAUGCAAUCAGCAUUAGGGUUUUAAACCCUAAACUAAGCU